GUUUUCUGUGAGAUUUGGAGGUCCGAAUAGAAACUCUCUAUGAGAACUGGGAUUAGAUAGAAGAUCUUGCAUGUUCUCAUUAGUUAGCAUUAAAUAAUGCAGAGAAGUUUGAGUUAAAUUUACUUUCCUAGCUAAUGUCCCGGUAAUAUGAACAUCAUCUAUCCAGAAGUAUGGCUCUUUCUGCGCUUCACGAUACAAAAGAAAUACGCUAUCAGGAGAGUACAAUAUAGCCCAUCCUGCGCAAUAUGCAGGAUAAUGUCUACCAGGAUAUUCUUGAGGGGAGACUCUCCACUUAGAUCGCCAAGAUCUCUUCACGGUACCUGUGGGGUGGAGAUCGCAAAGGAUCAAUCGCCUGGCUCCCCAUGGUGAUAGAUCACGCGUCAAGAAAUCCAACAUGGCAGAUGAGCCAACGAAGAAGAGGAGCGCCACAUUUGACGAUUGCUGGCCCCAGGUUUCCCUGACUACAUUUCUCUUCACAAAAUUCUCUGGAGCCGAGUGAACCAACAUCAACAACAAUAGAUGUGUUCCGUUACAUGGAUUAUUGUUGAUCGUGAACCGAAAGUCUUUUAUAUCAAUAAGAGUUGAUUUGUCACCGAACGGAAGUUCGUGUAAUAAGUAUGGCUGCGGAGAGGGUGUCACGUUUCCGGGUAAGAUUAAUAGAUAUCCCGGUGCCGAUACGCCACUGCUGUAUGGCGUCGGUGAACCGGAAUUGUCGAUGUGAAGCCAGAAGGAGAAGCAUCCAGUCAGUGCCAAAGCGACCACAAAAAUCAGAGUGCAAGGCGACGUACCGGAGGCAUGGAGUCGCCGCUUAUCCAGCAUACUAAAAAGUCCCUUACAUCAUACAAAUCUGAGUCCGGCUAAAAAAAUAAACAUAAAAGAUUAAUCACUUAUAUUAUAUAAUCAAUUAUAUUUUAUCUUAAAUAUUUACUUUUAUAUAUGAAUUAAUAUGGAUUAAUAGUUUAUUUUGUAUAUUUUUAAUAUAGACAAUUGUAAAAGAAUCCGUUGUCGGUACUGAACUGGUUCAAAUUAUUUCGAACUUGUUUCGAGAACAACAGUUAUUUCGUAUCAUUAGAAAACAUGUGUGGCGCAUCUGUUGCUAUAAAUACUAUCUUUUAUUUUGCUUAUAUAUAUUUUUAAUAGAUAACAAUUUGUAAAAUGUUAUUGUGUGGAUAGUGAUAAUAUAAAAUAACACAAUUGAUAAAUUUUCAAUUAAUUAUAAUAAUUAUAAUCAACUAAUAAAUUAAAUUUGAAUAUCAA